ensembl:lncRNA
UAUGUGUAUGUGCAAGUACAGACUUGCCAAGUACGUGCUUGCAAGUCAUCGAGUCCGUAGUACGCGUGCUAGGAAUUGAGAAACGGCCUUUGUCUAAUGUUGCACACUUUGUAAAUGUUGUAUCCUUUGCUUAAUUUAACUGUAAUAUGAGCUUUUUUGCGGGAGAGAAAAAGAAGAAAAAACAAAGACAUUAGUUGGGAAGAGCACACGUUUUACUGAGGGACUGAAGUAUUGUUUGAUGACAUAUCCGCAACACAAGAUUGAAGACAAAGUUCAACACGAACUUCAAAACUUGAAAGCUCCCCCAGACGGGUUCACAUACGACCCAGUCAGUUAAUUAACAGAAGUAGCUGAACAGUGGCCUGCUAACUAACGGGGUUUCCGAGGGACCGCCGCAAGAGCUAGCGGGUGUGACCACGCGGGUUGGCUGACCUGGCUCGGGCGAAGGGAAUCACGCGACAAGCAGUGAGGAGCGACUGUGUCCUUUCCACGGACUUCCUCAGGACGUUCACGGACUUCCACGGACUUUCCCAGUACUCUCACGGUCUUCCACGGACCUUCAAGGACGUCCAUCGCGUUUUACCUGCACAUUGGUUGUCCAGACGGUUUCCCCUCCAAAGAGCAGACAUGGAAAGCAGUAGAGCGUCUUUUUUGACGAGCUCCCGCAGACAGGGCCAUCUCGGCUGGGCCCCACCGAGCGGAACAGACGAGACGGAGCAACGAACUAUUUCACACACAACUACUACGCUACAAAAAGGUGGCCUCGAAAUAUCGCCGGCUGUUCUUCGACAUCUUCAUAGGCGACACACAAUGAAGAUGGCCGACAACCGUCUCACCGUCACUCCUGGGUACUUUACUGGGACUUGCCAUUAUGA